CGCGGACGUAGUCUAGUGGUUAUGAUGUCUGCUUUACAUUGAUCAGACGAAUAAUGUAAAGCGCAGAAGGUCGGGAGUUCGAUCCUCCCCGUCCGUAU